UCCGUCUCUUCAACCAAUCAGUUCUUUAUAAAAUUCUGUUAGUCGGAAAACUUGUACUGAAUAAAAGUAAAGUCUGGUGCAGAUUAUAAAGGAAACCAUCGCAGAAAUUGUUAUUCAAUAAAAAUUCUAUAAGAUGGAAGAAACCAAUAACCCAGAUCAUGGAAAUCUGAGCCAAACAGAUAUAAACAUUCAAAAAGAACUUAUCGGAUCACACUUCCUGGAUUUGAUUCACUUAUUACCAACAUUCGAUGGUGACCAGUACGCACUCCGUAACUUUAUUGGGAGCGUGGAAGACAUGGUUUUAAACGUAAUUAAAAAUGUGUAUAAAACCGAUUGUCCGGCUUUUAUAAUGAGAGCUAUUCGCGGGAAAGUCGUCGGGGAAGCCGACAAAGUUCUCAUCUGGGAACGUACCAGCUUAAAUUGGCAGGAAAUGAAGGAAAUGUUGUUAGACAAGUUUGCAGACCACAGAAGUAUGGAUAAUUUAAUGGAAAACCUAAUGGAAAUUCGGAACUUGAAACUAACAAUUUUUCAAUUAUAUGUGGAAAUAUUAAAAAUUAGAUUUGCAUGUUUUGGUAUUUUAGAGAGACAAUAUAAAAAAGUGGAGUUUAAAAAACAUCAGGAACUCGUCUAUGAGAAACAGUUUGUGAAUACGUUUAUCGCCGGUCUCCGAGGACCUCUUAAAUAUCAGGUAGUACGCAAACAACCAAAAACACUUGGGGAAGCCUAUGAUAUUGCAAUGCAACUAAAUGAUUCAAUUUAGUAAUAGAAACGACUAUGUAAAUAAUUCUUCUUCGACUUAAAUAGUAGAUUGUAAAAGGACCAUACUUUUUUAAUUUAAAUUGCAAAAAAUAAGCAAUAUAAUAUAAAAAAAAGAUUUGCUCAUUUGCCUAUACAUUUUUAGGAUAGAAAGUUAAAAAACAACUUUUGGAAUCAAACCACCAAAUUUGUCUUCAUAGCUCAACCGAAAAAGUGAAAUUUGAAAGUUGAAUGGAUUUUAUUUAGAUGCUAGUGCCAUUGCUAUUAUUAAUGUUAUUAAUCGUAUUAAAUUGUAUUGAUUUCUUAUUACUAUUGGGUAUAAGUAAAAUAAAUUAAAACCAUUUUUAAGCUCGAAUUAUUAACAUCUUUUAGUUUAUACGUAAGACAUGGUAUUAAUAAUAACAAAAGUAAUAGUUUUAAUAUGUAUUUUUAAUUUAAUAGAUAAGCACCAUAAGCUUAGGAAAUAUUACUAUUGUGUUUAAGCAAAAUAUUGGGUCCUCAAAAUAAGAAGUACAGAAUUUAAUAAAGAUCUUUUUCCAAAUCAG